rnacentral:rRNA from 1 species
UACGUAGGGGGCAAGCGUUGUCCGGAAUCAUUGGGCGUAAAGAGCGCGUAGGCGGUCCGAUAAGUCGGCUGUGAAAGUCAGGGGCUCAACCCUUGAAAGCCGGCCGAUACUGUCGGACUAGAGUUCGGAAGAGGCGAGUGGAAUUCCCGGUGUAGCGGUGAAAUGCGCAGAUAUCGGGAGGAACACCAAUGGCGAAGGCAGCUCGCUGGGACGUGACUGACGCUGAGGAGCGAAAGCGUGGGGAGCGAACAGG